rnacentral:ncRNA from 1 species
UCUUCGGGGAGCCGGACCGGUCCGGCUGAGAUUGGGCGACAACGGCGCCCUGACCCGUGAACCUGAUACGGAUCAUGCCGUCGUAGGGAAAGGGUG